ACUGAAUGAUGAUGGCCCACUAACUGAGCAGUCAGUAGUUGGGCCUUUCUUGCAUAUGAUGCAGUUAAUUGAUUCAAGAUGGGACUGAUGGCAAG
ensembl:snoRNA SNORD21 Small nucleolar RNA SNORD21